AGGACAGCCACUCAGGCAGCUCCGGCCGUGGCCCUGGCCCCCGACGGCCCUCAGUGGCUUCCUCUGUGUCAGAGGAGUACUUCGAGGUGAGAGAGCACUCAGUCCCUCUCCGGAGGCGCCACUCAGAGCAAGUGGCCAACGGGCCAACCCCACCACCGCGCCGGCAGCUGAGUGCCCCCCAUAUAACCCGAGGGACCUUUGUUGGACCCCAGGGUGGCUCCCCAUGGGCCCAGAGUCGGGGAAGAGAAGAAGCAGAUGCGUUGAAGAGGAUGCAGGCCCAGCGCUCCACAGACAAGGAGGCACAGGACAAGGUCCCAGAACCCUGGGUGCCCUGCAGCCUGGGUUCAGUGCCCGGAGCCCGUCCUACCUGGGAACAAUGCGCGGCUGAUCAUGCCCGGCAUGAUGAUCAGGCCCAUGGGGAGCAUC
rnacentral:lncRNA from 1 species